rnacentral:rRNA from 1 species
AUUGAACGCUGGCGGCAUGCUUUACACAUGCAAGUCGAGCGGCAGCGCGGGGGCAACCCUGGCGGCGAGCGGCGAACGGGUGAGUAAUGCAUCGGAACGUACCCUGGAGUGGGGGAUAACGCCGCGAAAGCGGCGCUAAUACCGCAUAUGCUCUGAGGAGGAAAGUGGGGGACCGCAAGGCCUCACGCUCUGGGAGCGGCCGAUGUCCGAUUAGCUAGUUGGUGAGGUAAAGGCUUACCAAGGCGACGAUCGGUAGCUGGUCUGAGAGGAUGAUCAGCCACACUGGGACUGAGACACGGCCCAGACUCCUACGGGAGGCAGCAGUGGGGAAUUUUGGACAAUGGGGGCAACCCUGAUCCAGCCAUGCCGCGUGAGUGAAGAAGGCCUUCGGUUGUAAGCUCUUUCAGUUGUAAAGAAAAAACGUAGUAAC